GACAAUUAACAAAACUGCAUGUGAAAGAGCUAGGCUACGACUGACGCAUCACAUCACAUCAGUGUCAGUCUUCCCAGGGGAAAGAAAAAAGCUGCUCUUGCAGUAGCCUCAGAAGUCACAGAAGCCACAAGUUUUCAGUGAGUGACUCUCGGUGAGCUACAGCCAGCAAUACAGAGAAGACAGG
rnacentral:lncRNA from 1 species